rnacentral:rRNA from 1 species
GCUUCCGGAGCUAACGCGUUAAGUCGACCGCCUGGGGAGUACGGCCGCAAGGUUAAAACUCAAAUGAAUUGACGGGGGCCCGCACAAGCGGUGGAGCAUGUGGUUUAAUUCGAUGCAACGCGAAGAACCUUACCUACUCUUGACAUCCAGAGAACUUUCCAGAGAUGGAUUGGUGCCUUCGGGAACUCUGAGACAGGUGCUGCAUGGCUGUCGUCAGCUCGUGUUGUGAAAUGUUGGGUUAAGUCCCGCAACGAGCGCAACCCUUAUCCUUUGUUGCCAGCGGUUCGGCCGGGAACUCAAAGGAGACUGCCAGUGAUAAACUGGAGGAAGGUGGGGAUGACGUCAAGUCAUCAUGGCCCUUACGAGUAGGGCUACACACGUGCUACAAUGGCGCAUACAAAGAGAAGCGACCUCGCGAGAGCAAGCGGACCUCAUAAAGUGCGUCGUAGUCCGGAUUGGAGUCUGCAACUCGACUCCAUGAAGUCGGAAUCGCUAGUAAUCGUAGAUCAGAAUGCUACGGUGAAUACGUUCCCGGGCCUUGUACACACCGCCCGUCACACCAUGGGAGUGGGUUGCAAAAGAAGUAGGUAGCUUAACCUUCGGGAGGGCGCUUACCACUUUGUGAUUCAUGACUGGGGUGAAGUCGUAACAAGGUAACCAAGGGCGAAUUCCAG